AAGGGCAGGCUUACCUAAAGGAUUAAGCCAUGCAUGCCAAGUAUAAACUAGUAUACGGUGAAACUGCAAACGGCUCAUUAAACCAGUUACGAGGUCCCGCGAGUUAACUAUAGUCGGCUAGUACGGGAAAAGCUCUUACUAAUCGUGCUUUACUGCAUCGAUCAGGGGCAACCCAAGUUGAUUCAUGUUGCGUUAAUGACUGCUAGGCAUUCGCGUUCCGCUUCUAACGUAUCAUCAAGCUGGUUGUGUAAUUGGACAACCAGUGACGUCACACGUCCGGGUUAUCAGGGUAAGACUCCGGAGAAUGAGCACGAGAGACGGCUCAUAGUUCUAAGGGAGGCAGCAGGUGCGAAAAUUGCCCAAUGUACAAUCGUACGAGGCAGUGACGAGGAAUCGCGAGCGGCUUUUGCCGUAUUGCGAUGGCCAGGAAGCAGACCCCCCUGGGAAUGCAAUUAGUGGGAGAGCAUGGUGCCAGCAGCCGCGGUAAUUCCAUCACUGAUAGCUUUCUCUUACGUUGUUGCAGUUGAAACGCUCGUAGCUCUCGGUAGCAGAAAUGCGUGUUACUAUGAGGAAAUCGGAGUGUUCAUCACAGGGCAACCGCUGUACAGGCCAGCGUAGAACGACAUGCCGCUCGCAAGGGCGGACGUGUCAUAGGGCACCAUGGAGCCAACAGUAUUAGAUAGGGACAGGUGAAAUAGGAUGAUCUAUCUAGGACUCUCAGCAGCGUAGGCAGUUGGCGAAUGGUGUCCCGUUAGUCAAGAGCAAAAGUGUGAGGAUAGACGAUGAUUAGAUACCGUUUUAUUUCACGCCCUAAACGAUACCAUCCCAGUAGCGGGCGCAGCUCGCAACCCAAGGGAAACCGUGAGGCUUCGGGUUCUGGGGGGAGUAUGGUCGCAAGAUUGAAACUUGAAGGUAUUGACGGAAAGAUACCACCAGACGUGGAGUCUGCGGCUCAAUUUGACUCAACACGCUAACCUUACCAGACCCAGAUGCUUUACGGAACAACAGAUUGAGAGUUCUUUUGUGAUCAGGCAGUUGGUGGUGCAUGGCCGCUCCUAGUUCGUGGUGUAAACUGUCUGCCUUAUUGCGUUAACGAGCGAGACUGCCGCCGUAGCACUAGCUGCGGGAGCGCCAAUGAUGAAUUGGCGAGCGGGGCUGCUCUAGCAGGUCUGUGAUGCCCUUAGACACUCUGGGCCGCACGCGUACUACAAUGACGGCAACACAGCGUCGCUGCGCACAGCUGCGCGGCUACUCGUGAGAACCGCCGUCGUGGUAGGGAUCGGGGUUUGGAAUUGUCCCCCGUGAACGAGGAAUGUCUAGUAACUGUGCUUGAUCAUAGCACGAUGACUAAGUCCCUGUCUUUUGUACACACCGCCCGUCGCUCCUACCGACUUGGAUGGUUUGGUGAGUUGUUUGGACCGCACAGCGCAAGCUGCACGGGAAGUUCUGCGAACCUAACUGUCUGGAGGAAGGAGAAGUCGUAACAAGGCUGCU
rnacentral:rRNA from 1 species